rnacentral:rRNA from 1 species
UACGGAGGGGGCUAGCGUUGUUCGGAAUCACUGGGCGUAAAGCGCACGUAGGCGGAUGUGUCAGUCAGGGGUGAAAUCCCGGAGCUCAACUUCGGAACUGCCUCUGAUACAGCACGUCUUGAGUCCGGAAGAGGUGGGUGGAAUUCCUAGUGUAGAGGUGAAAUUCGUAGAUAUUAGGAAGAACACCGGUGGCGAAGGCGGCCCACUGGUCCGGUACUGACGCUGAGGUGCGAAAGCGUGGGGAGCAAACAGG